ensembl:lncRNA
AGAUGAACCAAAUAUUCUGUAACAUAAAUGGAUUUGUGAAUUGUAUGCAUGCUGCAUGAAAACUUAAAAAAAACACUGCAUGAGAAAAAAAAAAGGGGGGGAACAGCUGAGGAAAAAUAUAUGACAUCAUUGUCGAGAAGCAAGGCCUUAGAGAGGGCUCGACUUUGUGAUUCUGAUUCUUAUCUGCCCACAACUUCUUAUUUUGGGAGGAAGCUUUUACAGCUUGGGUUUACAGCCCUCUCUCCCUCCAAAUGGGGCCGUGACUGAGUGUGAUGACCUCACCCUGUUUCUACUAAACUCUCUCUUACUCCUCUCCUCCCUCACCCCCUCUCACUUUCUCGCAGUCUGUGCGGGAGUUAGGCUGGAGUCACGUUCUCCACAGUUCCUGCAGUCUGCAUCUCAAAAGUGUCUCUGCAGUGUCUCAGACGACUUCAGAGUGGACCAUUUUAGCUUUGUUGACUGGCUUGGUUGACUUCAGACUUGAAUUUGAAUGGAUUUACCAGAAGAAGGAUUCUUUUAAACAAUGAGAAUGAUGUUUUAUUGUUUUAUGGUUACUUGUUCCUCAAUCAGAUGAUUAAAGCAAGAACAGCAAUGAAGAGGAUCCAACCUUUUACUAUUGGGACCAAGUUAUCUGUCCCCUCCGAAAACAAAUGUCUGGAUUUUGUGGGCAACAUCCUUCCUGUACCGGUUCUGGACUGCUGUGAACUAAAAAACAACUCUAACAAUGACGAUUCUCCUUUCCACGAGGAGAGAUUGUCCACAUCUACACCCGUGGAAGCACUUUCAGAUGAUAUUAAAGAGGAAGAUGACAGGGACUCUGCGUCCCCAUCAGCUUCUUCCAGAUCCAUCAGGAAGAUUGCUAUGUGUGCAAAUGUUGAAAGCCAGACUGUCAGUGACUUUAAUGUGACAAACCAUGAGACAAAUAAGCCAAGUACUUCUACUGAAAAGCUGUUUCUUGUUGAGGAAAGAUUGACUGACAAGUCCGGUGCACAGCUGGAGACUGAUCCAUAUACUAAAGGAAGGAAGAUAAAGAACCUUCAUUACGACUAUAGCAUGCCAACUUUCCCACAUGAUCAACCAGAGGACGCGUCUCAGAGCCAAAGGAGAGACCUCAAAGACUUUGAGAACUCUCUCAUCCAACUGACGACAAGUCUGGACUUGAUGCAGGAGGAACCAGAAAAACCUCUUCAGAAGAAGACAGAUGCUGUAGAUUUAGGAUUGGAAAUGUUUAGAAGAAGACAAAGCCCGGGGGACCACGUUGACAAAUCGUGGCUAAAGUUGAGGUCACUCCUGAGGGACUAUCAUCAGGAUCUCAUGUUGGCUUUAGACGUCUCAUCAUUUUACCAACAAGCCGACAGCAUUAUUGGCGCCAUCAACAGCAAGAGGAACUGUGUACUGGUGGACGACAUCCCAAAAAGUGACAAAGAGACCAUAGAAAUUGCCUGUCAGAUAAGUAUGCUGAAUGAGUCUGUGUCUCGGCUGUCAACUCUCCACCCAACCCUGGCCAGAAGAGUUACAUGCAAACAGGCCGAGGUGAAGGAGAACUGGGCACUUCUCCAGGAGUUUCUCCGGAACCAGAAGACAGAUGUUUCUUCAAAACGCCCGUCAGCGUUACCCGCUGAUCCUCUAACCACAUGCCCUGACUCACAGAGCUUUGCUAGAAAUGAGGGUCACAGCAUAAUGGGAAAAGACGUCAAAGAAGAGCAAAACCGUCUCCGAGGAUUUGAGUGCUCUCAAGGCCUGUGGACCCAUAGGAUGUGGAGUCCGGUUGAGGAAUGUUCUAUAGGGAGUCAAGUCUCACUGUUGGAAAGCAGCUGUUCCAAGCUGGACAACAUCUCAGAAAAGCAGGACAGGAAGAGCUGUAUCGACCAGAUGGCUCAAACAACCCCUGUUUCCUCUCAAGAAUGUCUCAUACCCAAUAAGCUGUUGAAAGAAUCGACGACAUCCACUGGAAUGAAUGAAGAGCAUGACUGCUCAAAGCAAAGACAAGACCACAAAAUAGAGGAGCUCCUAAGCCAGGUGGAGGUCCUUUGGGAUGCUCUGCAAAAGAAAUAUGGAGAGAACAAUAAGACUGAACCGGCGGAAAAAGAACAAUCUGGAGAUGAAGCUGCACAGAUGGUUUCAGAUCUUACAGUUUCAAACAAUCUCCUGGAAAAAGUAGAGGAAGGCAGUUCAGGAAUGCUUGAAAAGUUCCUUGAACUUCUUGAUCCCAGUGGUUAUCACAAAAUAAAUCAGGAUGUUCCUGGAUCUCUGCAUAGGCAAGAAAUGGCUGAGGCUGCAGAAAUGUCACUAAAUCUACUGAGUCAACAAACUGAACAAGAAAGAUCUCAGAAGCAGGACCAGAUCACUAAUGAGCUACAAAGCUUGCUAUCUACUCUUACACUGCGGAUAAACCAGCACCUCUGCCGCUGUGCUGAGCUCAGUAUGGACCUCCUGGACAUAGAAACAGAUAUGACUGUGCUUUGUGACUCGGACCUCAGCGGUCUGGAGGGGCUACAGGAGCAGCAGGAUGACCUAGAGGCUCAUUAUAAUAUCAUUGAAGGAGAGGUGAGAGAAAUGGAGAGACUAGACAGUCAGCUAAAGGUUCCUUCCCCAGAACAGAGAGACCUUCUCAGGGAAGAGGUUCAGGCAAUCCUGCAGGCUUGGGAGGAAGUAGGCCGCAACAUGGCUGAAAACAGAAGCCGUCUGGAGAAGUUCCACCAGAUUCAGGACUACUUCGAAAACUAUCUUGCCAUGAUUACGUGGACAGAGAACACCAGAUCCUGUAUCCUUGCCGGUGGCUCUGCUUGGAGAGAGAGUGAAGUUGCAGAGAUUGAUCACAGCAUUGAAACCAAGCUGGAUGAGUUUAGCAAACUGGCUGCAGCUGGUCAAAUGCUUAUGCAAGAUGAGAGUCAGUUUAGAGACAUUAUCAAGGAGAGAACAGAUGAGUUGCAAAGCAUGCUGGGAUGGAUCCAGGUGAACUGGCACGUUCAAAGAGAGCAGCUUAAAAGAAACCAGAAUGGGAGACCAGAGUCAACAAACGAUCCUGUUCAACAGCAGGCUAUACCUUUCAAAAAACCUUCUGAUGGUCUUUGCAUUAUAAAUGGAGAGGUCAAAGGAAGUACUGCUGAAACACAGCCCUCUCAAAACAACUUCGAGCAACAGAAUGGGAGGCAUGAUGUGUCCAGUGUUGUUAGUCAGGAGUCAUGCCUUUCAAAGACAUCCCUAGGCUCUAGCAUCUGUCUCAUUUUGAGCUUUGAUGACCAGUCUUCAGGCAUUAACCAAGUGACAAAGCAAUGGUCCCCCAACAAUAAUGAAAUACUUGAAGAGUCAGCAAGCAGCAUUCAGGCAGACAGCUGUCAAUCACAGGACACAACCUCAAUGCAAAUACAACAGCCACAAGAAAUUCUCCAGGAAAGAUGGCCGAAUGAAUCAGUCAAGAGUAAAGACACCAAACCCAAGUCAUCUUGUGUGAAUCUUGCACAGCUGCAAAUCAAAAACCAAGGAGAACCAGACCAGUCACCAAGCAAAGAAGAAAUAUCCAACCAGUUGUCCACAUAUAACACUGAAUCAUCAUUUUGCAAUCACCUACCAGAUAAUCUGCAGUCCAACAACAACCAAACAUAUCUGCAACCAUCACCAGAUGUCGAUCAGAUGCAAAAUCCUGAGAAUCAAGCACAAAAAACUCAGUCACAAAGCUACAGCCCGAACCGGAUGCAAAAAUCUGCACACAACAAUAUAGAAUCAAACCAAAACCAAAGUGACGACCACCUGCGGUCUGAAGUCACUCAUAGAGUGUUCACGUAUUUGCACGUCUCGGAUAGUUACAGAUCAACAGGGCAAGUCUUGGAGGUCACAUCCCCAACACAUGCAGCAGAAAAUGUCACACCUGAGAGGAGAACGGUUUAUAAUCACAACAGAUUCAAGCCAAGCUCUUUGUUCAAGCUGAAAGAGCCAAUCACAAAUGAGGAAGAAAACCAGCGAAGGAACUCUCUGCUUGGCUCUGUAGGAUCGGAAAGGUCUGGCAAACCUUCAAGCAUUUUCAGGCGAAGGUGUAACACUUGGCCAGAAGGAGAAGGGAGAGUGAAAGAAAGUCAAUCAAACUCCAAACUUCAGGAUCCACUCUUAGCUUCAGUCUUCCCAAGUGCUUUCACAACAGUGUCUUAG